rnacentral:rRNA from 1 species
AGUGAACGCUGGCGGUAGGCCUAACACAUGCAAGUCGAACGGCAGCACAGUAAGAGCUUGCUCUUACGGGUGGCGAGUGGCGGACGGGUGAGGAAUACAUCGGAAUCUACUUUUUCGUGGGGGAUAACGUAGGGAAACUUACGCUAAUACCGCAUACGACCUACGGGUGAAAGCAGGGGAUCUUCGGACCUUGCGCGAUUGAAUGAGCCGAUGUCGGAUUAGCUAGUUGGCGGGGUAAAGGCCCACCAAGGCGACGAUCCGUAGCUGGUCUGAGAGGAUGAUCAGCCACACUGGAACUGAGACACGGUCCAGACUCCUACGGGAGGCAGCAGUGGGGAAUAGUAGACAAUGGGCGCAAGCCUGAUCCAGCCAUACCGCGUGGGUGAAGAAGGCCUUCGGGUUGUAAAGCCCUUUUGUUGGGAAAGAAAAGCAGCAGGUUAAUACCCCGCUGUUCUGACGGUACCCAAAGAAUAAGCACCGGCUAACUUCGUG